rnacentral:rRNA from 1 species
CCCUUAGAUGUUCUGGGCCGCACGCGUGCUACACUGAGUGGAUCAGCGGGUCAGGUUGCGCGAAAGUGUUUCCUAAUCUUUAAAUCCGCUCGUGAUGGGGAUUGACGGUUGCAAUUUUCCGUCAUGAACGAGGAAUACCUUGUAAGCGCGGGUCAUCAUCCCGCGCUGAAUACGUCCCUGCCCUUUGUACACACCGCCCGUCGCUCCUACCGAUUGAGCGGUCCGGUGAGACUUUGGGUUCUGAGCGGAAAGAGCGUUUCGCUGUUUCUGCUCGGAAAACUCAGUCGAACCUUAUCAUUUAGAGGAAGGAGAAGUCGUAACA